GCGGUCAGCGCCCCCCGCCCGCCCCCGCCGGGCCGGACCUGCCUUUUAAAGGGCCACUCGGGCGCCGACACCGCUCGGCGCAAGUCACCGCCCGCAGCCCGGGAAAAGAGGCCAGGUGGAGAAGGGCGCUUCCAAACACCGGAGGUCAGGUGCGGCGAGCGGCGCGCGCCCGGGAACGGGAGCCGGGGCUGGGGCGCGGCCGGAGCCCCCCUCCUUCCCGGGCCUCACCUCGGGCCCCGCGCUCGACGCUCGGCCCCCACCUGGGCUCGCUGGGCGCCUCAGGGACGUCUUCACAUCUUCGCCCCCGGCACCUAGUCCCGUGCCCACCAGGCGCUCGGUCUUCCAGUUUGCUGACAGUUACUUUUACAACCACCAUCUAACAUUACCGUGCGCUGAGCACCUGGCACUCCGCCAGGCACCUCCUACAGGCAUUACCGCCCUGCGUCUCCCCGGCAGCCUGCGAGCCCUUCCCUAAACCGGCCUGUGAAGGGUGCCACAGCGCUUUGCUGCCCUGGAGGUCAGGGCACAGCCCUGGAAAGUUUCCCUUGGACUGUGGGCCAAGUUCCGUGGAGAGAGGAGUCCUGGGCCCUGCAGAGGAGACCGAGACGCAACCUGCGCAGGAGAGGAGCCAGGGUGGGGCCCCUGGGAGGAGCCGGAAGGGCUCGCGCGGACCCUACGCCAGCCCCCACCCCCACCCCCGUACAAACGGAGGCCCAGGGACGAAAGGUACCGUCCGGGUUCCACAGGCAGUUCUCCCUCCCCGCUGCCUGAGAGGCCCCCUGCCUCCUCUCUCCGGCCACUCCUCCUGGAUCUUCCCCUCAGAGCUCAGGGCCUGCAGGCCAGGAUCCUAAUCGUCCUCCCUCCGGGCCUGUUACUAUCCCUCUUCUGCGAAGCACAGGCGGAGGCCCUGCAGCUGCUGAAGGUCAUCCUGCACCCAGGCCCCCAGAUCUCUGACCUGCUUCCCAGUAACAGCACCAAACAUGAUGUGGAUGGAAAGCAUUUUGUCAAAAUCCUUAUCAACGCACGCCUGAUUUGUGAGUUCCAAAACAAAACCUGAACAGGCAGCCUGAGUUUCUAACGCGGCUUUCUCCCAAAAGUUCAACAUACUCUCACUCCACAACCUGCCUUCUAAUUUUGUUUGUUGUUCCUAGUCAUAUUCUCUAACAGCCAUGGCUUCCAGCACUCCUCUGAGGAAAGGAAGAAAUAGGCAGAAGUCAAAUUUAUUAGUCAGCCAGCCCCCAAGGAACUGUGGGAAAUUCUGCUUCACUGGGCUUUGGUGUUUCAAAAUACCACUGGACAAAAAAAUCAGAAGCAACGUAAAUGCUUAGCAGAAUAGGGUCAGCUAGAUCUCACAGCAACCGGAGGAGCCAUUAGUAGAUCAUUUUAAACAACCAUUACAAAGAUUAUGUAGCAACCUGAAACUAAUGCUUAUGGGAUAAUUCGGAGUGAAAAGAAGAUAGGAAAUUGUGCGUGCACUAUUCUUUCAAACACAUAAAAAUAAACAAAUGCUCAUGAUCAAAGACUCAUAAGAACCAAGUACAAAGGAAAUGUGUUAAGCUCAAGGCAUUAUGGCUGAUUUUUUUUCUAUUUCCUAAAUAUUCUGUAAUAGGCUACAGUGCCUUCAGAACCAAAGCAUAGACAGCUCUGUCUUUGAAGAGCCCAAUUCUUUAUCUGAUCUCUAGAUCGGAAAGACUUUCCUAAGCACAAGAGCACUAGAGGAUAUACUGAAAUAAAAAAUGCUACUCUGAAGAUACAUGAAAAUUAAAAUGUUUUAAACUUCAAAAAAUACCAUCAACACAUAGGAUAAAAGUUAGUACACGUCCAAGGGGUAGGAUGUAGAUUUCUACUUUCUUUAUGAUUUUUCUAUAGUGUCCGAUUCUUUUUUCCAUGACAGCACAUUGUUUUUGCCGUCAUAAAAAAGUAAAAAUAAAUUAAGCUAUUUCCAUUUUGAAAAGAAAUUUGACAUUAAAAAAUAAAGUAUAAGAAAUUAGGGAAAUAUUUUUGAAGCUAAUGUAGAACUCUUACACUUCAUAAGAAAAACUUAAGAUCCAAGCAUAUAAAUGGCAAAUGCUACUAAUGGACAAUUAACAAAAUUGGAGAUUCAGAUGAUCAAUAAAUAGGUUUUAAAGGGUCGGUCUUACCAGGAAAACAAAAAUGUUCAUUAACUCAGUGAGAUGCUGUGCCUGCCCCCUCUUCCAUCAAAUCAGCAAAUCAUUUUUUUAAAUUAUGUUACAUAAAACCAGAGAGACAGACACUCCCACAACUGCUUCUGAGAGCGUAACAGAUAGUGUCUAGAAAGCAAUCUUGCGAUCUGUAUUAUGAAUCACCAAAGUACCCAUAUUCUUCAACCCUAGGAUCCCAAGUCUAGGAAAGAAAUCAUAAUCUUAGCAAAGCUUUAAUCACACCGAUUUAAUAACAUUAGUUAUAACGGUACAAAACUGAAAGCAGGAGAAUGUUAGCUACGUAUUAGUAUCAUUGCUUCUAUUUAUGUUCACUCACUCCCCUGUCUCCAAACAUUUCUGAGCACCUAUUACUACCAGUCCUGGGCUCAGCUUUGCAGAAAGAGCAAUGGGAGCAGAGCCCUCCCCCAGAAGUGCACCUGCUGGGGACAGGAUGGAGAUGGGAGGGGUGGGGAGGCGUUUGGAGGAGUGCUGUUGAAGGCCUGAAGGCAGCAUUGGCAGGAGGCAGGGGGAGCCUGGUGCCCACCGGAGCCCUCAAACAUCAAGGCAGGAAUAAAGGAACAGACAAGCAGACAGCAAAUUGCUGGAGCAAUUUGGGAUGAGUUUCUUUUUUUCUCUUCUUUCUUUAUUUUCCAGUAUACUGCGCACCUUUCUUUCCCUCUGGCCUUUCAGUGCCCAGGCCUUUCAGCCCCUGUGUCCUCCACAGCAGAGACCCCCAGGCCCAGCUGCCCAGCUCAGCCCUGGACCUCUGCUCAAAGGCCUGUUACCACCUAUGAUUAAACGAUACUACAGACAUGCACAAAAUGUUUACCAAAGCAAUAAUGCUCGUGACAUUUCUUGUGAUGGGGAAAUGCCUGUAACGUGUUGCUAUUGGAAUAUCGCAGAACAUUAAAUUGUGUAACAUACAGCCCCAGCUGCUAUCCGAAUGUGGUUGGUAUCACCGGCUGGAGCAAUUUGGGAUGCGUUUCUUUUUUUCUCUUCUUUCUUUAUUUUCCAGAUUUUGUUCAUGUACUAUUUUUGUAAUCAGAAAGAAAUGCUAUUAGCAAUACAAAUUCAAAUGAAGAAACUGCCCUCUGGUGAAAUUUUUCACACUAUGAAGAACUCAGACUGACAAAGGGCAGCUCUCCUGGGCCUCCGAGGGUAAAGAGCACCGUCCCCAUGCUGUCCUCCUGGGCUCCAAGAACUGAGGCAGAGACUCUGAGCUAUACCACAGCUAUCGUCACCACCGUUAUUCGGUCUUACAAAGCAAGAUUUUGUUCAUACUCUUUUGACUCUCGGAAUAACCCUAGGUACCCUGGCAGUAGGACUUUUUGCCUUCAUUCUGCAGAUGGAGACUUAGAAGAUAGUUCUACCCCAAGGCACAUGUGCUGAGAUCAGUUAGCACCCGGCCAUCUCCAGGGACUGAGCCAGACCAGCCUGGUACCUUCCUCCCGGGACAGUGGGCUUCAUCUCAGAG